CCCCUGGCUGAAAGAGUCUGUAUUUUCCCUGGCUGACUGGUGACUCGACCCUUAAGCCUAAACUUGCACCUUACUACAUUUACUUUGUGUGUGUGUGCAUACCUGAUAAACCUAUUUUAGUUGAUGUAUCAGUUAGAAGUUGUAGUAAGCGGUCCUUGGCUCCAUAAACAUCUCCUCUACAGUAUUUGCAUGUUAUGACUCAUCCUUGUACUUCAAUACAAACCAGAAACGAUUCUGGCAAAGUGCUGCAGUCUAACAGUAAUACUGUCCUGACUUUUCCAAAACAUGAGCUCCUUCUUACCUUUACUGGGAGACAGUGUAGUUCUGUGGAUCAGCAUAAACGAAAUUUGUUGAGUUGUUAUCACUCGGAUUUAACUUUUCUGUUGUUGAAGUUGAAAGGCUAAACUAAGCCAAGAGCUGAACAAUCGGUAGGUUUCUCCUGUGAGGGUUUCUCCAGUUGUCAUGGGAAUGUGGUGAUAGCGUUCUUACUGCUGUGUCACUGAGCAGCCUUUCUGUAUUCGCAGGUUGUGACAUUACAAAUUUAGUGUCUGGGGACAACAACUAUUUACCAUUUUGUGUAACAGGUCCAGUAUCCGUCACAGUGUACUGACUGGGUCUGCUUCAGACAACAUUCUAACAAAGCCUUUGUGCAAGUAACGUCUGAUGGACGCUCCAGGAAGGCUUACAGAUAGCCGGUUCUUUCUCUGGAGGCUGUUCUUGAGAUGACAAAUGCUACUCUGUUAAUUGGUCUUAUUUCACACCUCAGCAGGCUCUAUGCAUACCGUUUCAGAGCUGGGGAAAGAAGAAGUGUUUGAUCCAAACUCUUUGGAUGCUGAUGGCUGCGAGAGCUGUUGUGGGCGGAGUCAGAGGACGUUUGGUGGUAAGGACUGACCAGUUUUCAGUCACACGACAUGAGAAGAGAGCCGACGGGCUACUGGGAGACCAGGGUCUGCCUGGUGUCUUUGUGCUGU